rnacentral:rRNA from 1 species
CCUACGGGUGGCAGCAGUGAGGAAUAUUGGUCAAUGGACGAGAGUCUGAACCAGCCAAGUAGCGUGAAGGAUGACUGCCCUAUGGGUUGUAAACUUCUUUUAUAGGGGAAUAAAAUGUUCCACGUGUGGGAUUUUGUAUGUACCAUAUGAAUAAGGAUCGGCUCACUCCGUGCCAUCAGCCGCGGUAAGACGGAGGAUCCGAUCGUUAUCCGGAGUUAUUGGGUUUAAAGGGAGCGUAGGAGGCUUGUUAAGUCAGUUGUGAUGGUUUGCGGCUCACCCGUAAAAUUGCAGUUGAAACUGGCAGUCUUGAGUACAGUAGCCGUGGGCGGAAUUCGUGGUGUAGCGGUGACAUGCUUAGCUAUCACGCAGAACUCCGAUUGCGAAGGCAGUUCACUGGACUGCAACUGACACUGAGGCUCGAAAGUGUGGGUAUCAAACAGGAUUAGAUACCCCGGUAGUC